CAAGGAAGGCAGCAGGCGCGCAAAUUACCCACUCCCGGCACGGGGAGGUAGUGACGAAAAAUAACGAUACGGGACUCAUCCGAGGCCCCGUAAUCGGAAUGAGUACACUUUAAAUCCUUUAACGAGGAUCAAUUGGAGGGCAAGUCUGGUGCCAGCAGCCGCGGUAAUUCCAGCUCCAAUAGCGUAUAUUAAAGUUGUUGCGGUUAAAAAGCUCGUAGUCGAAUCUGUGUCCUGCGCCGCCGGUUCAUCGCUCGCGGUGUCAACUGGCGUGUCGCAGGACGUCCUGCCGGGUGGACUUAGCCUCGCGCUCGACCGUGCGUCUCUAGGGGCGCGCUGUUGUCGCCGGGGCGGUCCAACUUUAACAAUCCCACCGCGGUGCUCUUCGCUGAGUGUCGAGGUGGGCCGGCACGUUUACUUUGAACAAAUUUGAGUGCUUAAGGCAGGCUAAAAUUUUGCCAGAAAAUUGUAUGCAUGGAAUAAUGGAAUAGGACCUCGUUUCUAUUUUGUUAGUUUUCGGAACUCCGAGGUAAUGAUUAAUAGGAACGGAUGGGGGCAUUCGUAUUGCGACGUUAGAGGUGAAAUUCUUGGAUCGUCGCAAGACGGACUUAAGCGAAAGCAUUUGCCAAAAACGCUUUCAUUGAUCAAGAACGAAAGUUAGAGGUUCGAAGGCGAUCAGAUACCGCCCUAGUUCUAACCAUAAACGAUGCCAGCUAGCGAUCCGCCGACGUUCCUCCGAUGACUCGGCGGGCAGCUUCCGGGAAACCAAAGCUUUUGGGUU
rnacentral:rRNA from 1 species